GGCCUGAGAUGAGGUAAGGUAACGCGCUGAAUUUAAGCAUAUAACUAAGCGCAGGAAAAGAAACUAACUAGGAUUCCCUCAGUAAGGGCGACUGAAGCGGGAAUAGCUCAGGUUGGUAAGCAACGGCCCGUCGGGUCUGUUGCGUUGUAGCCUGGAGGCAAGUGGUCAGUGAUUGACGCCGGAUCUAAGUCGUUUGGAACAACGCGCCAGAGAGGGUGAGAGCCCCGUUCUUGGUCCGAGCUGUCAGUCCGUUUCGUCCCUUGUCCUUAGAGUCGUGCACCUUGGGAAUGGUGUGCUAAGUGGGUGGUAUGCUCCAUCUAAAGCUAAAUAUUCUCAGGAGACCGAUAGCGAACAAGUACCGUGAGGGAAAGAUGAAAAGUACUCUGAAGAGAGAGUCAAAUAGUACCUGAAACCGGCAUGAGGUUAAGCGUAUCGAUGGAGACGCCGUGUCGGAUCAUGCGGUUCCCGUGGAUGCAGUACGUAGGGCAAAGCGCCUCGUGCUGUGAGAAGCGGUGAUGCCGAGUUCAUGGUCUGACGUCUGGCGCCAGGGUCGGUUUGGACCGAAGAAGAAGGGCUUGGGCACGAAGGUAGCAUUGCUUCGCCUCGCGCGUCGAUCAAUGUGUUAUAGCGUGCUAGUCGUACUCUUCGGUCUGGAUCGAGGAAUUGUCAGUCUGCGCACUUUUAGUGCACGUGCUGCCCUGUGAUCGUUCGUCGCUCCUUCGGGAGAGGCGUCCCUGUCGCAGGUGCGUAUCAGCAGACUCGAGAUCCUGGAGGUGCUUUAUCGAUAUGACCCGUCUUGAAACACGGACCAAGGAGUCGAACGUAUGUGCGAGUCGUAGGGCAUGGCAUGCCCGGAGGCGUAAUGAAAGUGAAGGCAGCGAAUUGGCGCUGCUGAGGUAUGACGCUGGCACCUCGUGUGUCGGCUGCAAUACCGUCCGGGCCGGUACUCUUUGAGCUAGCCGGCUUCGAGGCAGAGCAUAUCCGUUCGGACCCGAAAGAUGGUGAACUAUGCCUGAGCAGGGUGAAGCCAGGGGAAACCUUGGUGGAGGCUCGUAGCGAUACUGACGUGCAAAUCGUUCGUCUGACUUGGGUAUAGGGGCGAAAGACCAAUCGAACUAUCUUGUAGCUGGUUUCCUCCGAAGUUUCCCCCAGGAUAGCUGAAAUUCUUAUACAGUUUCGUCUGGUAAAGCUAAUGAUUAGAGGUUUUGGGGACGCAAUGUUCCCGACCUAUUCUCAAACUUUAAAUGGGCGAGAUCCCUAGGGUUACUUAAUUGAACCCGGGGUAUCGAAUGUGAAUUUUUAGUGGGCCAUUUUUGGUAAGCAGAACUGGCGAUGCGGGAUGAACCGGACGCGUGAGCUAAGGCGCCUAAAUGGUCGCUCAUUCUAGAUCCCAUAAAAGGUGUUGAUUCAUGAAGACAGCAGGACGGUGGUCAUGGAAGUCGAAAUCCGCUAAGGAGUGUGUCACAACUCACCUGCCGAAUGAAUUAGCCCUGAAAAUGGAUGGCGCUCAAGCGACCUGCCGAAGCUCAGCCGUUGGUGCAAAUUAUUACGCGCCAACGAGUAGGAGGACGUGGCGAUUGUGACGAAGCGUGUGGCGUGAGCCCACGUGGAACGGUCGCUAGUGCAGAUCUUGGUGUUAGUAGCAAAUAUUCAAGUGAGAAUCUUGAAGUCUGAAGUGGAGAAGGGUUCCGCGCGAAGCGCAUUGCGACGCGGGUGAGCCGAUCCUAAGAGAAGGGGUAACUCCGUAAGGAUGGGCGCGAUUGCCUUUGUAGGUCGCGCCGCUCUUCGAAAGGGAAGCCGGUUAAAAUUCCGGCGCCAGACAGUGGAUAUUAGCGCGGUAACGCAAAUGACCGUUGAGACGUCGGCUGUAGGCCCGAGCAGAGUUAUCUGUUCUGUUUAACCCACACAUACCACGGAAUCGGUUUGCCCGGAGAGGUGGUGCAGUGUUGGGGAAGAGGCGCGCAAUCUUUGCGCUGCUUCGGUGUCCUACGGAAGGCCCUUGAAAAUCAACGGGAAGGAAUUAUUCUCACGUCUGGUCGUACCCAUAACCGCAUCAGGUCUCCUAGGUUCGAAACCUAUAGACAAUUGGGAUAAUGUAGGUAAGGGAAGUCGGCAAAAUAGGUCCGUAACUUCGGGAAAAGGACUGGCUCUGAGGAUUUGGUAGGGUGGCCCUUGCUGCGAAACCUUGCUGCAGCUGAGGGACUACUGCGGACCUGCAUUUCGGUGCGGGACUGCGGCGGACCUUUGGUAGCGGCUUGGCGCCGUGCUCGGGAGUGGUGGCUUCGGCCGCUGUGCACUGCCCUACGAGGAAAAAUCAACUCAGAACUGGUACGGACAAGGGGAACCCGACUGUUUAAUUAAAACAAAGCAUUGCGAUGGUCUUAACAGAUGUUGACGCAAUGUGAUUUCUGCCCAGUGCUCUGAAUGUCAAUGUGGAGAGAUUCACUGAAGCGCGGGUAAACGGCGGGAGUAACUAUGACUCUCUUAAGGUAGCCAAAUGCCUCGUCAUCUAAUUAGUGACGCGCAUGAAUGGAUUAAC
rnacentral:rRNA from 1 species